UUUAUUAUCCGCUUUGGGCUUUCAAAAAACUUGAGCCAACCCUGGUCGUGUUCAUGUUCAUGACAACCGGUGAGUAUUCCUGUCAUGUUUGGUUCAUAUGUCGGACAGAUUUCAAGUUUGUCUCGUGUUCGGGUUCGUGUCAAAUUUUUGUGUUCAUGUCGGGUUAGACCCACCAACCACCGAAUACAACCCGUUUAACACCUCUACCUUUGUGUCGGUAACAAAAGCAAAUAUGUUGAUGUAGAGCUGAAGCAUGAAAUCUCUACUAUAAUAAAGUAAAAAUUCUUGAUCCUAGCUGUCAAUCAUACAAGCCCCCACCUUUAUCUUCAUCCUACGUGUCAAACCAGGGAUGCAUAUAUCCUAAACAAGAAGGGUCAAAACUAAGCAGCAAUCUUCCCAGCUUGAUUGAAUCUUUAUGAAGUAAAAUUAGAGCUCAAUUGGCUUCCAAAAUAUUCAAAUUUUGAAUCCCAUCAAUUUCUUCAAACAAGCAAAUGGUGAGAUCGCUUUUAGGGUUUCUUGCUUCAUCUCCUCUUUCCCAUUGCCAUUUCCUUUUUCCCAUUGCCGAUAUGCUUAUCCUUAUCUUUUUACUUCUCUGAAAAUCGAAGCCCUAAUCAAUGUUGUUGCUUCUCCCCUUAUAUUUUACUUCCUCCCCACAUUACUGGACUCACAGCUUAGUUAAUUCUUGAAAACUCUAUCAGCAACGGGAUCCUGUAAGUGGAAGAUUCGGGUCGUCGGAGAAAGCAUACGGGAUCCAUGGCGGUUCAUCGCCUCAACAUUGAUUCAAAGAUCAAGAUCGAUUAUAUUUUGAAGAGGAAAUUCAAUCUUCUGCACAUAAUCUACAAUCUUGGUACCUUCAUGUUUCUUAUCUUUUGUUUAUUUUCCUAUUUUUAUUAUUGUUUUUGAAUGUUUUGAAUGACUGAGAUCGUGAAUUAGGGCUGAGAUUUGUGGUUGUUGCCUUUCCUUAUGCUAUUUUUCUGUUCAUCUCUGAUUUGGUUAUUUUGUAGUUCACGACAUUAUCGCAUUUGAUUGUUUCGUUUGUUAAACUUAAAACAAACACAGAUGAAGAUGUGGAUCUUGAAGAUUAAACGAUCUAUGGAAUCAAAUGUGUAAAGGUGAGAGUCCAAAUUAAGAUGCUAAUCCAAGAAGAGGGAUAGCAAUGUGGUUUGGGCAACCAGUGAUGAUGAUACAGAGAUUGAAGUUGUUCGGUGUGAACAAGACAAUGAUCAGAUAGAUGUUAAAAAACAUAAAAGGAUGGUUUCGAACAGAGAUUCUGCUAGGCGGUCAAGAAAAACAAAACAAGCACAUUUAACAUGUCUUGGGCAACAAGUGCCUGCUUAUUAACAAUGUUUAUAUACAUAUAUCCUUAAAUUUAUAGAACUACACCAAAAUAUCUGUUAACCAAACAUGUGUUUCUGGUGGAACUACUGCAAGUAGAGUGUUCAGAUUUGUUCAACAACA